AGGAAUCCUAUAAAAGACAUGGCAAUCCCCAAGCAAGAUCAGUCACUCUGACCUUUCUCUCUUUUAUCAUAUCCUUGGAACUUAUUGAUCUUCCUUUGAAAGGGAAAGAUUUUAAAUGCAGCAAGCGAUACCCCGACCCAGCCACCAAAGAAAAACACACAACAAGGCAAUGCACGAAUCUUAAAGCACAAAAAAAAAGAAGGGAAAAAGA
rnacentral:lncRNA from 1 species